AAUAUUGGACAAUGGGGGCAACCCUGAUCCAGCAAUGCCGCGUGUGUGAAGAAGGCCUUCGGGUUGUAAAGCACUUUUGUCCGGAACGAAACGUGUCGGGUUAAUAACCCGGCAAACUGACGGUACCGGACGAAUCAGCACCGGCUAACUACGUGCCAGCAGCCGCGGUAAUACGUAGGUGGCAAGCGUUGUCCGGAUUUAUUGGGUUUAAAGGGUGCGUAGGCGGUGAUUUAAGUCAGUGGUGAAAUACGGCAGCUCAACUGUCGAGGUGCCAUUGAUACUGGGUCACUUGAGUACUGAUGAGGUAGGCGGAAUGGACGGUGUAGCGGUGAAAUGCUUAGAGAUCGUCCUGAACACCGAUAGCGAAGGCAGCUUACUAAGGAGUAACUGACGCUGAGGCACGAAAGUGUGGGGAUCAAAC
rnacentral:rRNA from 1 species